CCUCCGAUGAUGAGAAACAAAAUGACUUUCGUUCUUCUGAAAGCAGUGAUGUUAAUUUAUUUUUAACUGAGGAGG